UACGAGUCUGCCGAACGUUAUUCGGAAUCACUGGGCUUAAAGGGUGCGUAGGCGGUGCGGAAAGUCGGGUGUGAAAUACCUUAGCUUAACUAGGGAACUGCACUCGAUACUGCCGUGCUGGAGUGAGACAGAGGUGAGUGGAACUGAGGGUGGAGCGGUGAAAUGCGUUGAUAUCCUCAGGAACACCGGUGGCGAAGGCGACUCACUGGGUCUCUACUGACGCUGAUGCACGAAAGCUAGGGUAGCAAACGGG
rnacentral:rRNA from 1 species